CACCCGUCACAGUACGCCCGGCGGCCGGCAUCGUUCGCCGAAAAUACUGUCCAGUACAUCGGCGUGCGCGGAACCGUUCGCGGGUAACGUUGCGUUGUCCCGUUGUCGCGGCUCCGUCCGUCCACCCAGUACCGUGCACACGGUGUAUACGCAACCGGCGACCGCGUGGUACCGGUUGUAUAGUCGGUUGGUCUACAGGGUGCUUGUAUCUGUCGGUGCAUUUUACGUACGCAAGUGUCCAAUGUCCACCGUGGCCGCCGUCAUUCGCGCCGGGAGAUUGCCUACAUUAACACGGCUCAACACCAUCCACGUCCGUUACAGCCCACCACCACGGUCAUUAGUCAUUACCCACUAUUCACACCGUGGUCCAUGACCACCCACCCAACUAUAAGGUGUAUUGACGGAUACACCUUGAGUAUAAGUUAGCCUCCACUGACAGUCAGAAAAUUUAAUAAACUUUCCGAUAGACACGUGAAUAGA